AUUGAACGCUGGCGGCAUGCCUUACACAUGCAAGUCGAACGGUAACAGGUCUUCGGAUGCUGACGAGUGGCGAACGGGUGAGUAAUACAUCGGAACGUGCCUAGUAGUGGGGGAUAACUACUCGAAAGAGUGGCUAAUACCGCAUGAGAUCUACGGAUGAAAGCAGGGGAUCGCAAGACCUUGUGCUACUAGAGCGGCCGAUGGCAGAUUAGGGAGUUGGUGGGAUAAAAGCUUACCAAGCCGACGAUCUGUAGCUGGUCUGAGGGGACGAUCAGCAACACGGGGACUGAGAAACGGCCCAGACUCCUACGGGAGGCAGCAGUGGGGAAUUUUGGACAAUGGGCGCAAGCCUGAUCCAGCAAUGCCGCGUGCAGGAUGAAGGCCUUCGGGUUGUAAACUGCUUUUGUACGGAACGAAAAGCCCCGGGUUAAUACCCUGGGGUCAUGACGGUACCGUAAGAAUAAGCACCGGCUAACUACGUGCCAGCCGCCGCCGUAA
rnacentral:rRNA from 1 species